rnacentral:rRNA from 1 species
GACGAACGCUGGCGGCGUGCUUAACACAUGCAAGUCGAACGAUGAAGCCCUUCGGGGUGGAUUAGUGGCGAACGGGUGAGUAACACGUGGGCAAUCUGCCCUCCACUCUGGGACAAGCCCUGGAAACGGGGUCUAAUACCGGAUAUCACUUCUGCCCGCAUGGGCGGGGGUUGAAAGCUCCGGCGGUGGAGGAUGAGCCCGCGGCCUAUCAGCUUGUUGGUGAGGUAAUGGCUCACCAAGGCGACGACGGGUAGCCGGCCUGAGAGGGCGACCGGCCACACUGGGACUGAGACACGGCCCAGACUCCUACGGGAGGCAGCAGUGGGGAAUAUUGCACAAUGGGCGCAAGCCUGAUGCAGCGACGCCGCGUGAGGGAAGACGGCCUUCGGGUUGUAAACCUCU